rnacentral:rRNA from 1 species
GACGAACGCUGGCGGCGUGCCUAAUACAUGCAAGUCGAACGCACUCUCGUUUAGAUUGAAGGAGUUUGCUCCUGAUUGAUAAACAUUUGAGUGAGUGGCGGACGGGUGAGUAACACGUGGGUAACCUGCCCUAAAGUGGGGGAUAACAUUUGGAAACAGAUGCUAAUACCGCAUAAAACCUAACACCGCAUGGUGUAGGGUUGAAAGAUGGUUUCGGCUAUCACUUUAGGAUGGACCCGCGGUGCAUUAGUUAGUUGGUGAGGUAAAGGCUCACCAAGACCGUGAUGGAUAGCCGACCUGAGAGGGUAAUCGGCCACACUGGGACUGAGACACGGCCCAGACUCCUACGGGAGGCAGCAGUAGGGAAUCUGCCACAAUGGACGAAAGUCUGAUGGAGCAACGCCGCGUGAGUGAAGAAGGUUUUCGGAUCGUAAAACUCUGUUGUUGGAGAAGAAUGUAUCUGAUAGUAACUGAUCAGGUAGUGACGGUAUCCAACCAGAAAGCCACGGCUAACUACGUG